CGUGAAUUUGUUUUUCUUGGUUCCAUUCAUAUGUUGUUUUAGGGCUUGAUUUUUUUUCUUUUUUUUUUGUCAUCGGCUUGAUCGAUUGUUUUUUUUUUACGAUUUUGAUUUAGGGUUUCAAGUUUCAUUAAUCGUUCCUUUGAUUAUUAUUGUUGUAGCGAUCCUGGAAAGCGCUUGAAUCGGAGUGGAAUUAUCGUUCGAGUUACAGGGGGGUGUGGAGAAACCAUCAUUGACAGAUUGAAGAUCAGUGGGAAUCUUUUGACUUGAACGGCUAAAGAAGUAGCAACAACAAAAACAGAUAAGUUCUUUUACUUCUUUACUCUUUUAUGUUUUAUUGUGGAACCGGUAGACACUGCUCUAUCUUACUUCAGUUUUAGUUUUUAUCAAACCCCAAAUAGAUCAUGGGCAGACACUUAUCUAAUAGUGUUCUUGCCAGAUUCUUAUUUUGGGGGACAUUGUCCCGAGUCCCUGUUGCGUAAAAAGCUUUAGACCGAGAGGAUAUUUAAACCCAUCUCCCUAGAAACUGUUGGUUGUGGUAGUGCAUGUCUAAGAAACAUAUGUUUUGUGGGAUGGAAAGUAAAACAUAUUUUAGUACCCACGGCUUUUCAGAAACAACCAUCGGCUUAAAAUAGUCUUUAGACAGAAAAAAAUAGCUAUGUCUUUAGACAAAAGGCUAUGAAUUGGUUUGAGCUUGUUGGAUGGAAAAUAACGACCACAAGUCAUGAAAACUAAUUGUCCCGAGUCCCGUUGCGUUAUGAAAAGUAGUUGGAAAAUCUAGUUACCCACGGCUUUUGUUUAUGGGUGGUUUUAAACCAUAUUGGUAUGUACGGUUGGAGAGAGAUGUCUUCAGACAAAGACUCUCGAUCCAAACCACAUCCAUUGCUUACCCACAGCUUUAUGAAGCAAGUGAUGUUUGAGGAUGCAGAGUGUGAUAAAAAUUAGUACCCACAGCUUAAAAACAACAACUCUUUUGACAGAGAUUGUGAUUGAAAACGUAUGCAUACGUCAGUACCCACGGCUUAAAAACCAGUUUUAAGACAGAGACUGAGAUUGAAAACGUAUGCAUUACGUCAGUACCACACGGCUUGCAAAAGGUCUUUAGAAAAAGACUGUGAUUAAAAAACGUUUUCAGUACAUCUGUGUACCCACGGCUUUGCAAAACAGUCUUUAGACAGAGACUGUGAUUAAGAUAUCGUCAUCACAUAUGUACUAAGGCUUGCAAAAAAGGCUUUUAGACAGACUCUGAAGGAAAACGUCUUUGUCACAUUUGUACCCACGGCUCUAGACAAAGACAAUGAGUGAACAACACGUCUUUAUUAGACAAAAAGGCUAUGAAUUGGUUUGAGCUUGUUGGAUGGAAAACAACGACCACAAGUGAAGAAAACUAAUUUUCCCAAGUCCCCAUUGCGUGAAAUAACGAUCACAAGUUAUGAAAAGUAGAUGGAAAAUCUUGUUACCCGCGGCUUUUGUUAAUGGGUGGUUUUAGACAAUAUUAGUAUGUAAGAAGUCUUCAGACAAAGACUCUAGAUCUAAACCACAUCCAUUGCUUAUCCACAGCUCUAUGAAGCAAACGAUGUUUGAAGAUGCAAAGUGUGAUACAAUUAGUACCCACGGCUUAAAAAAACAAGUCUUUAGACAGGACUUGAUUGAAUAAACGUAUUCAUUACGUUUGUACCACGGCUUGCAAAAAAAAAGGUCUCGAGACAAAGACUGUGAAUAAUAAAAUUAGUACCAACGGCUUGCAAAAAAGGUAUGUAGACAAAGACUGUUAUUAAAAACGUUUUCAGUACCCACGGCUUUGCAAAACGGACUUUAGACAGAGACUGUGAUUAAGAUAUCUUCAUCACAUAAGUACUAAGGCUUGCAAAAAGGUCAUUAAGACUGAGUUUUCAUCACACUUGUACCCACGGCUUAUGAAAAGUAUUAAGACAAAAGCUGGUAACUGAAAACAGAUUGCUUUAAGACAAAGACUUGCCAAAAAGGUCUUUAGACACGGCUGUGAAUGAAAAAUUCUUUAUCACACUUGUACCCACGGCUUUGCAAGAUAGUCUACAGACAAAGACAGUGAGUGAACACCUCCUCAAUAUGUUAACUGUGAGUCUGUGAUUGAAAAAAGUCUGUGAUGUAAUUGUAUUCGUCAGAAUGUACCCACGGCUAGACAAAGACUGGGGUUGAACGUGUUCAAAUUAUACAUUAGUACUUAUGGCUAAGAAAAGACCAACGGCUUACAAAUAAAAGUUGUAGACAAAGGCUAUAUGAUCGUCCCAAUGGCUCUAAAAAAACUAUUGGUUGUUUACAAAAACAACCAUCGGCUUACAAAAUGUCUUUAGACAGAAAAUGACUAUGUCUAAGGCUAAUGAGAUUUGGAAGGAUUCAUUAAAGACAGACUAUGAGUUGGUCUUGGAGAUAACGAUCCCAGUUUAUGAAAAAUAAUUGGAAAAUCUUGCUACCCACGGCUUGCUUUAUUACGGUUUGAGAUAAGUCUUCAGACAAAGACUCUAAAUCUAAACCACAUCCAUUGCUUUACCCAAAGCUCUAAGAAGCAAAAGAUGUUCAAGGAUGCAAAAGUGUGACAAAAAUUUAGUACUAACAGCUUAUAAACAAGUCUUUAGACAGAGACACUGAUUGUAAAUGUAUCUAGUACCCACGGCUUGCAAAAAUGAAGUCUUUACACUGAUUUAAAAUGUAUUCGUUACAUUAGUAUAUAGUACCCACGGCUUCACAAAGAGUCAUCAGACAAAGACUGAAUCUAGAAAAAAUUUCAGACAUCUGCUAAGUUGCUUUUCCAGUACCCACGGCUUGGAAACUUUACUGCUCAAUAAACGUCUCAAGGCAAAAGACUAUGAGCUGAAAAAACAUUUUGUAAUUUACAGUAACCCACGGCUUAUAAAAGGUUGGAUUCACUAAGUACCCACGGCUUAUAAAGAAGUUUAGACAAAGACAGAUUCAUUAUAUAAGUACCUGCGGCUUAUGAAGUCUUGAGACAGAGACUUAUGUACCGAAAACUAGUUCUUCACAUUAACCACAAGGCUUAAAAAUCACUAGAGUAAAAAGCGACAGACGGUUGAAAAAGACUAUAAAUCAAAAACAGACUACAUAGCAUUUAGAAAAAGACUGCACAUCAGUUUUUGGCUUUGUUGGAUGGGAAACAUAACCAAUGGUUUAAACCAAAUCUUUAAGAUAGAGACUAUAAACAAAAUUGGGUUUUAGCUUGUUUGUUGGAUGGUUAGAACGACCAACAGCUUACACCAUGAACCAAAACUAACACUAUUCCUUUCUUUUAUUAUUUCCGGCUCAGCUCAGAAGCUAGAAAGCUACUAAUCGAGUCUUAUGUUGCUCUAUGCAGAGGUUCUACACAGCUUGAUGCAAUGAUCAGGCUCUCAGAAGCAAUUGCUAGGAGUUAACAAGUUGUCAAUUUUCUUUAUCUCUGAACUUUGUUUUUUUUUUUCAGGUGAAACCGAGUCAUGUUCUUUUAUAGCUGUCCGACUUCUUCAGUUAUCAAAAGUGUUAAGUCAGGGGAUAUCGAUCUUCCAGAAGGGUGCAUCCGAGCCAGCUCCUGCUACUGCAAAUACUUAAGCACAUCUUCCUUUUGAUCUGAGUCACUUAAGAACCAUAACAAACAUCAUUGUGUUUUCUAAACAGAUAAUGGAGAAGCAGCUCCGAUGAAAGAAUCACACAGGCUUUAAGUCAUUCGCCUUAGACAACACGAAGAAACUGUUCCGACGGAAUCAGCAGAACGAGAAAAAGUAAUACCGUUCGCAAGAGCAAGUCAAACUUGAUAUCAAGAAACUCAGAGCCAUUAUGAGGUUUUGUAUGUGCUUCAGAAGAGUCAAAGAUGAUUUCCAGUGUAUCAGAUAUCUUUGACAGGUAUGUGCAUUUCAAAUUUGUUUGUUACUUUGGUUGAUACAAUUAUGAAAAUUACAAGCAGGAGAAGCUGAUAUGAAGUGAAGACUAGUUCCAUUUUUUUUAGUUGUGUGCUUCAUAAACUGUUCAUACCCCUCAUUGAGGCCAAGGCUUUGUUCAGAGAUGUCGGGAUUACAUUUAAAUGCUUCAAAAUCAUCUAUAUUGGCCGUAGGACAGAAGGCUGUGAGAAAGGACUAACAGUAGCCUCCUUGCCCAUCAGAUACCUGGGAAUGCCUUUAACUUCGAAGGUUUGGAGUAAACCUGACAAUGAACCUCUGGUUAAUCAACUCAGAAAUUUCUAUCUUGAACGCACAGAGCCUUGACGUUUGCAGGCAGGCUACAACAUAUCAAGUCUGUUAUUACAAGUACUGUUAAUUUUUGGAGUUUUGCUUAUAUUCUUCCAAAGGGCUUCUUGGAAACCAUAGAUAGUAUGUGUAGUGCAUUCUUGUGGGCGGGCUCUCCAACCAAAGCUCAUAAAGAGAAAGUUGCUUGGGCUGAUAUUUGCCAUACUAAAGAAGAAUGAGGAUUGGGUAUACGUAAGCUAGAAGACAUUUGCCGCUGCUUUGCGUUGCGCCUCAUAUGGCGGCUCUUUCCUCAUCAUGAUUCAUACUGGGUGGCUUGGACUAAAAAAUAUCUUCUCAAGGAUGGAUCUUAAUAGGACGUAAUGGAAGGUACAUCAGGUUUGUGGGCAUGGUGUAAAUUUCUGAAGCUUUUUCCUCUGGAUUUCGAAUUUUUGCGAGUUGAUACAAGGUGGAUGUUCUACUUAUUUUUGGUUUGAGAUUUUUGAGUUUAAAAAUCUAUUCGGGUUUGAGAUUUUUAAGUUUAAAAACUCUAGCUCUAUUCGGGUAUUUAUAAGCUUUGGUUCCGAUUUGAUUUGGAUCUUUGCGGGUUUGAUAACCAGUUUAAACUAUUUUAAAAAUUUUUAAAUUUAUAUA